AUUAUAAGAAAUACAACUUGUUAUUAAAUAAUAAUUACGAAAACAAAAAAUUAUGGCGGUAUUCUAAGCUUUUUAGAGGAAUUUGCUCUUUAAUGGAUAAAACACCUAAAUCUUACUUAGAUUGGUAAAGUCAGUUUGUAUACCACUAUACAAAGUAAUAAAUAAUUUAUAUUACUGUAAUUUUUAAAAAAAAGAAAAUUAAGUCAAGGUGCAGCUUAAAUCUAAGGCUGAAGUGAAUUACAUUUCUUUUUAGAAAAUUAGCAUUAAAAUAACUUUAGGAUUUAAAAGUAAAUAUUUAAUAGAAUUGAUAUAUUGAAUUAAGCUCUGGAAUAUGUACACAUCGCCCGUCGCUCUCAUA
rnacentral:rRNA from 1 species